AGCAGCCGCGGUAAUUCCAGCUCCAAUAGCGUAUAUUAAAGUUGUUGCAGUUAAAAAGCUCGUAGUUGAAUUUCGGGAUUCUACCGUCGGUCGGGCUACCAAGUCUGUACUGGUGUGUAGAAUUCCUACCUUCUGGGGAACCAUCAUGUUAUUAAUUUAGCGUGGUGGGAAACCAGGACCUUUACCUUGAAAAAAUUAGAGUGUUCAAAGCAGGCUUAUGUCUGAAUACAUUAGCAUGGAAUAAUAGAAUAGGACGGUGGUCCUGUUUUGUUGGUUUCUGAAUCACCGUAAUGAUUAAUAGGGAUAGUUGGGGGCAUUAGUAUUCAAUUGUCAGAGGUGAAAUUCUUGGAUUUAUUGAAGACUAACUUCUGCGAAAGCAUUUGCCAAGGAUGUUUUCAUUAAUCAAGAACGAAAGUUAGGGGAUCGAAGACGAUCAGAUACCGUCGUAGUCUUAACCAUAAACUAUGCCGACUAGGGAUCGGACGAUGUUAAAUUUUUAUUGACUCGUUCGGCGCCUUAC
rnacentral:misc_RNA from 1 species